UUGAGGGAUUUAUAGCAGACCAUAGUAUCUCUAAAACAUUUAGGUGGUGGUACAGAAAUAAAGUAUAAUCCGACGAGCACAUUUCUUGUGAACAUACCGAGCAUCUCGAAGCUACAGUGUCAUCUCAAAUCUCUAGAAACACAAAGAUUUAUAAGAAAAUUUUUUCUUAUUGGCUUAAAAACUUCUCAAAACUAAAACUCUCAAUGUUUCUCUUAGAUCUUAUGAAACACUUCUCCAUUAAAUCUAUACUUAUAGUGAAAGACAAUUCUCUUUA
rnacentral:lncRNA from 1 species